GCCACCAUAACUGAGGUGGUACGGUAACAGACAUGAAAUCUGUUUCCGGAGAAGGCAGACAAGAUAUCUGCAUCUCGAGCGUGCAAGUUCGAAUCCUGCUGGUGUUC